GACGAACGCUGGCGGCGUGCUUAACACAUGCAAGUCGAACGAAGUAUCGAACGUGUGAGUAACGCGUAAUCAACCUGCCCUUCAGAGUGGCACAACAGUUGGAAACGACUGCUAAUACCGCAUACUGAAGGAGGGGAUUGCGUCUGAUUAUCUAGUAGGUAAGGUAAUGGCUUACCAAGGCGACGAUCCCUAGCUGGGCUGAGAGGCUGAUCAGCCACACUGGGACUGAGACACGGCCCAGACUCCUACGGGAGGCAGCAGUGGGGAAUAUUGCACAAUGGGCGAAAGUCUGAUGAAGCAAUGCCGCGUGUAUGAAGAAGGUUUUAGGGUUGUAAAGCACUGUCAGUGGGGAGCGGUAACGAAAGAAGAAGCACCGGCUAACUACGUGCCAGCAGCCGCGGUAAUAC
rnacentral:rRNA from 1 species